rnacentral:rRNA from 1 species
UUUUCCGGUUGAUCCCGCCGGACCCUACUGCUAUCGGGAUGAGACUUAGCCAUGCAAGUCGUGCGCUUCCUAGCCAUGUUGGAAGCGCGGCAUACUGCUCCAUAACACGUAGUUAACCUAACCUUGGGACAGGGACAACCCCUGGGAAACUGGGGCUAAUACCUGGUAGGUGAAAGAGCCUGGAAUGGUCUUUCGCCUAAAGGGUGUCGGGAACACGCUCUUGACACUGCCCUAGGAUGGGACUGCGGCCGAUCAGGUUGUUGGUAGGGUAAUGGCCUACCAAGCCUAUAACCGGUACGGGCCCUGAGAGGGGUGGCCCGGAGAUGGGAACUGAGACAAUGUCCCAGGCCCUACGGGGCGCAGCAGGCGCGAAAUCUCCACAAUGCACGAAAGUGUGAUGGGGUUAUCCCGAGUGCCGUCCGCUGAGGAUGGCUUUUCCUCGGUGUAAGGAGCCGGGAGAAUAAGAGGGGGGCAAGACUGGUGUCAGCCGCCGCGGUAAUACCAGCUCCUCGAGUGGUAGGGACGAUUAUUUGGCCUAAAGCGUUCGUAGCCGGCCUGGCAAGUCUUUCGUGAAAUCCGGCGACUCAAUCGUCGGGCGUGCGAAAAAUACUGUUAGGCUUGAGGGCGGGAGAAGUCGACGGUAUUCCUGGAGUAGGAGCGAAAUCCUAUAAUCCCAGGAGGACCACCAGUGGCGAAGGCGGUCGACUAGAACGCGCCUGACGGUGAUGGACGAAAGCUGGGGUAGCGAACCGGAUUAGAUACCCGGGUAGUCCCAGCUGUAAACGAUGCGGGCUAGGUGUUGGAACAGCCACGAGCUGCUCCAGUGCCGCAGGGAAGCCCUUAAGCCCGCCGCCUGGGAAGUACGGUCGCAAGGCUGAAACUUAAAGGAAUUGGCGGGGGAGCACCACAAGGGGUGAAGGCUGCGGUUUAAUUGGAUUCAACGCCGGGA